rnacentral:ncRNA from 1 species
UAACAAAGGCAAACCUAUAGUGAUGUAGGGACGCAAAACUAGGAGUCUUAGAUAGUGGUAGGAGACGAUGUAAGAUAGUUCGGUUGCAG